rnacentral:rRNA from 1 species
GGUAACGAAGUGCCAGCAGCCGCGGUAAUACGUAGGGUGGAAGCGUUAUCCGGAAUCACUGGGCGUAAAGCGUGCGUAGGUGGCGCGUUAAGUGAGAUGUUAAAUCGUGUGGCUCAACCAUAUCGAUGCGUCUCAUACUGGCGUGCUAGAGGACAGCAGAGGCAAGUGGAAUUGGUAGUGUAGCAGUGAAAUGCGUAGAUAUUACCAGGAACACCAAUGGCGAAGGCAGCUUGCUGGGCUACUCCUGACACUGAGGUACGAAAGCGUGGGGAGCGAACAGGAUUAGAUACCCGUGUAGUC